UAUGCUCUGACACAUCUACAUGGUGUCAGAAGUGGUCGAUUACCGACCGAGAAACGCAACCGACGGAUGAAGAGCGAUCGCGCAGCCAGCUAACCUGGAAGGCUCCAAGUUCCAUCGGAACAGCAACAUGGCGGACCACGUGCAGCAACCUCGCCCGCAGCCAACCACCCCAGUCACUACGCUACUGCCACCUGCGAGAGCGCUGGACGCAAGGGGAGACCUUUGGCACAACUGGAAGGCAUGGAGGCAAGAGUUCGAGCCCUUAACCACUGCAAUGUACCUGGACCAGCAGCCGAAAGAGGUACAGACAGCCGCUUUUCUCAUCAGUAUUGCAGAGGAAGCGCGCAAAACCUACAGCACUUUCGUAUUCCAUUCUGGAGCGACAUUGAAGUACUGAAGGGAAAGUUUGAAGCGUUCUAUAAACCAGCGCUAAACCAUUGGAAAGCGUGACCAAAAAAAAAAAAAGACGGAAGUUUUAACUACUGGUUAACUGAGCUGCAUGUACCUGCAAGGCGCUGUGAAUUCGUGGAAUUGGAAGAACUCAUGCUAAGAAACAGAAUCAUUUUUGGAAUAAGAGACAAGAAACUUCAAGAAAAACUUCUUUCAGAAGAUGCUUCUUUUGCCAAAACUGUUGAAAUGUGCCCAGUUCGGCAACACGGUUAAGUACAAAGCGAACAAAUUCAGUCUCGCAGGAAAAGUCAGGUAGAAGUCAACGCAGUUUCCCAAGUGAAAAGUCAGUGCUGUAGCAUAUGUGCAAAAAUCCGCGAGGACCAGGAAGCAUGCCCCGCAAAGGGACACACGUGCGUAAAAUGCGGCAAAAAAAGUAAUUUUGCAGCCGCACGCAAAACCAGGAGCGUAAAUCUUGUCGCGAAAGAGCAAAAAUUGGCAUCACACGAAGCCGAUGCAGACAGACAGGCAGACGAUUUCUGGUUGGAAAUGUUAUCGCAAAGCCACCAAAAAAAUGAUACUCGCUGGACUGCAAUCGUAAAAAUAGAAGGAACACCCGUCGUCAGCAAGCUCGACACAGGCGCGAACUGUUCAGUCAUACCACGCAGUCAUCUGCAGAAUAUAACGCAAAGGCAGCCCAGAGACUGCGCUGUCGUUCUAAACACGUUUUUUUUUUGGCUUUCAGAAAAAAAGCAACAAAAUGUAUUUGACUACAUGCGACCGGCCUUGAGGGAACGGUUGAAACGGAAUCGUUCGUGGGUGAAGACGAUGUAUCCGUGACUUUAAGCGGCGCAUUGGCAGAGAAGCUAGGCUUGGUUCGUUGAAUUGCUUCACUGCAGUAACAAGGUUCCUAAGGCGUAGUAAGCCUUAUGAAGAUGUUUUCGCUGGAUUAGGCGAGCUUAAGUGCUUCAUACACCACCUGAAGCUCAAAGCGGGUUCCCAAGGAGUGGUCAAGUGAGAACGCCAGAUCCCGUUUGCCGUCGAGUACAAAGUCGGAACUGGACCGCAUGGAAGCAGGCGGAGUAGUUUCCAAGGUGACGAAGCCAACAAAAUGGUCCAGCCACGUGGUUAUCGUCACAAAGAACGACAAGCUACGGGUAUGUCUUGAUCCAUCUGAUUUUAACAGAGCGUGGUCGAGGGAACAUUAUCCAAUGCCAACGCUAGAAUAUAUUGCACCGUCUCUGAGCGGAACACAGUACUAGGAUUUUGGCAGAUGAAACUGUAUGAAUAAAACUAAAAAAAUUGCGCGAUGAGUACCCCGUUCGGUCGUUAGGUUCCUACGUUUGCCCUUCGGUAUUUCUUCGGCUCCAGAAAUAUUUCGGCGUGCCAUGCAGAAAGUAGUAGAGGGUUUCGCAAGCGUGGGAGUCGUUAUGGGCGACAUUUCAAUCCGGGGCCGAACUAAAGAAGAGCAUGACAAAAACCUUGUCAACGUGCUGCAAAAAUGCCGAGAGAACAACUAGAAGCUAAACAACAAAAACUAUAACUUCUUCCAGGAAGCUGUCAACUACCUCGGGCACGUGUUAACAAGUGAAGGGUUAAGCCUGUAUCCAGGGAGACGGGUAGACAUCCCUCACGUGCAGGCCCCUUGCAACUAGAAAGAGCUAAAUACAUUCUUGCGUAUGAUGAAUUUCGUUUCCCGCUUCUUUCCGAAUGUGUACACACUCACAGCUCCGUUCCGAGAACUCUUGGGGGGGAAAAAAAGCCGCAUGGGUUUGGGAGGACAGACAUCAAGCGAGCUUUGAAGCACUCGCAAGAGCUGCCGUAUUAGCAUGCUACCAGAAAGGAAAACCAAUCGCCCUUUCAGUAGACGCCAGCCAAAGUGGAAUUGGCGUCGCGAUAAUGCACGAUGGGCACCCGUUAGCUCUCUUAUCUAGCUUAUCUACGGAAAAGUGUAUAACUGUUAAGUACACUCCAGGAAAACAACUCUUCACCGCUGAGGCGCUAUCACGUUUUCCGAAUAAAGCCCAGCUCGAAGAAGAGUGCGCUAAUUUCUAUGUUAACGCUACCGCGUGCCUUCAAGUUUCCGACAGGCGCCUGGAUCAAGUCCUGCAGCAGACGCGCUGUGACCCCAGCAUAAUGCAACCUCGCCAGUGUGCAAGCACAGCGUGGCCCCACGACAAAACUGGCGUCACUCCCGAGUUACGCUUCCGCGAAGAGCUGCAUACUCAAGAUCACCACAUGUUCUGGAGCAGUCGCCUCAUCAUUCCUGCCAGACGGCGCAGCGAGGUACUUGGUUCUGUACACGCUGCAGACAGGCUAACGCUAUGGUUCUACAAACCGAUGGUGCUUGUCCUCUGUCAACCAGUGCACAGCCAAGGCACAAAAUCUGCAAUUCUGGAGACAGUGCCUUUUGAGUGGGUGCAUGGCGCCACGUUAUAGCCCAAAGUGAUGUCAACAGAUGACUCCCCGUGAAUAGGACGUGACAGGCCAAAAAUCUUUCUAUCAAAGACGGUUGCUCUUGCGAUGGUGUCUUCUUAGCGAGUGUCUCCAAGCGAAAUAGAGAAAAUUGCUGCUUCGCUGUCAUUGCGAGGCAAUCAUGCGACGACUAUUAUGCGCACUGAGUCUCGCACUGUUUCCCGCUGCAUCUCGCCGUUGACGUAAAUGGUCGCAUACGCGUGCGGGCGAUCUCAUUUCGUGAAGGAGAAAAAAAAAAGAUAACAAUCGAAAUUACGUAAUUGGCGACUGCAGUCCCGGUCGUCCUUCCUCGACUAUAUAAUAGACCGUUCUCAGAGGCAAGAUCCUUGGUGUUCUUUGUGGAAGUGACCCUCCAUGGUGAAGAACGGUAGAGACGUCAUUUUUGGGAUUCCUGUGACAGACACUGGCGCCACCGGCGACGCAAGCUGAGAUAAAAAUUUUGGAGGAUGCUUAAGCUUGGUCUUUAGGAGUGCAACGCGAUAGCAUUCAAGAUUGCCUGACUGUUUCUCACGCUUCUCAGCAAUUGCAGCUUUUGUAACCCUAAUGUCUACCGGGAAACGCUGGCGACGAACGUUAUGCACGAAGGCGCACGGAGGAGGAAAAGGAAGGAAGGAAAGGUAGGGAGGUCAACGAAGGCGAGCUUUCUGAUAAAAACACGGCCUCUUGCGUGCGCCGAUACCGGAGCUAGUCCAGGGCUGCGCCAAAAGAUUUACGCCAUUUUCAGGUAUUCGUUAUUGUUCCACACUUUUCAUAUUUAAGUCUGAGGAGAUCUAACAUAAAAGCCACGUGCUGUCGCUCUUUUGUUUCAUGACAUUUGUUUAUGGGCUGUCAUUCUCAAAUUUCCGAGGAAUAACAUUUUCAAGAAUAUAAGCAAGGUGACAGAAUGUGAAUUUAGUGACAGAAUAGUGCCGCAGUAUAACUCGCAUAUACUGCAUGUCAUAUAGCAAGACGUGGCAUGUCAUCAUCAACGUCAUCAGCCUGGUUACGCCAACUGCAGGGCAAAGGCCUCUCCCAUACUUCUCCAACAACCCCGGUCAUGUACUAAUUGUGGCCAUCUCGUCCCUGCAAACUUCUUAAUCUAAUCCGCCCACCUAACUUUCUGCCGCCCCCUGCUACGCUUCCCCUUCCCUUGGAAUCCAGUCCGUAACCCUUAAUGACCAUCGGUUAUCUUCCCUCCUCAUUACAUGUCCUGCCCAUGCCCAUUUCUUUUUCUUGAUUUCAACUAAGAUACCUCCUGUAUGAACACAACGUGGCAUGUACAUAAAUCUAAAUAUAUACGGAAAUUUUUGCUUACGGACAACUUCACUGACGCCGACGCUGACACUAUCACCGGAUUUUCUACGACACGGGGCCCUUAAGAGGAAGCUUUAGCUCGGGUGCUGCUAUCUACAUACAUGUAAAAGGAGAAUUCAUUUUUCUCGGCAACCACUACACCAAAUUUGACGAGGUUUAAUGGAUUUUAAAGAAAAACCUAAAUUCUAGUGACUGUUGGUUUCGGAUUUUUUAUUUAGGUCAUCAAUUUUUUUAUAAAAAGUUAGCAGGAAUAAAAACAAAGUUAGGCAAAAGAAAUUAUCAAGUUUACAACUCUGUAACUCGGCAAUGAAAACCGAUCUCACAAUUAUGGGAAUUGCAUCUAAUAGUACAUCAAAAGCGCGCAAAUUCGAUAUGUUAACCAUAAAUCUUAAAAACAUUACUAAUAUGGAAAUACAGCUCUUGCAGAACCCUUGUGUACAACGUGACAAAUUCACGUAAGAUAUAGUUUGGCAUAUCAAAUUUGCCCGCUUUGAAUGAUCUAAUGGAUGCCGUUUACAGAACCGCCAUUUGUUUUUGAUGCACAGCUAUCUAUUUGCAAUCUUUGUGUUUCUAUUUGUUUCAAACUUUCGAAUUUUCGAAAAUUGCUUUUCCGAAAUUCAGGCCCUAAAUCGAAAUUCCACUUCCAACAGUCACUAGAAUUUACCUUUAUCUCUAAGAUGCCACAAAUUUUGCGUUUUUGCGUUUUACAUGUAUUUGAAUAGGCCGCGUUGGAGUUGGACCCGAGCGAAAGCUUCCUCUUAAUGGGAAGCUUUAGCUCGGGCUAAAGCUUUAACGGCCUAUUGACUUAACUUUUUUUUUUUACCGCGAGAGCCUUUCUUCGCUUAUCAACUUAGUUAUCACGUAAAUCUUCGGCUUCACGUGAACAACCUCGAGGAUUUUGACUCAUUCGCAACAUCAGCGUUUUCCAGAGAAGUGAGUUGAUAUGGGUCCACCAGUGACUGGGAUUUCUGCUUAGAUAUUUUUUUUCCAGCAAAUGCUUGUCUGCGCAGUCUGUUUAUUCAUCGCGCGAAUAGGUGGCAACACUGACAUUAGCAUGGACUGCGACGGAUGCAUCACACCGACGCUUUCCCGACAGAGUGAGCCAUGUCAUCGUGUGCCGGCCGCCCCUACUUCAUGGGCUUCAUGGACUGCAUGGCCUCUCGAGCCCGUGCUUCCGGUUCUCGCCGACUUGCAGUCCGGCUGCCCUCGAGCUUCGCGCGAUAUUUUUCAUCGAAGAAAUAAAGUUGCUGUUGCAAACAAC